AAUCAACGCUGGCGGCGCGCCUAACACAUGCAAGUCGAACGAGAACGGCUUCAGCAAUGGGGCCUAGUAAAGUAGCGUACGGGUGAGUAACACGUGGAUAACCUGCCUUCAAGUGGGGGAUAACCUGGGGAAACCCGGGCUAAUACCGCAUAACAUCACGGUGGCGUAAGUCGUUGUGAUCAAAGGGGUAACUCGCUGGAAGAGGGGUCCGCGGCCGAUUAGCUAGUUGGCGGGGUAACGGCCCACCAAGGCCAUGAUCGGUAGCCGGUCUGAGAGGACGCACGGCCACACUGGAACUGACACACGGUCCAGACUCCUACGGGAGGCAGCAGUGGGGAAUCUUGCACAAUGGGGGAAACCCUGAUGCAGCGACGCCGCGUGGGUGAUGAAGCUCUUCGGAGUGUAAAGCCCUUUCGGCAGGGACGAAUCAAGACGGUACCUGCAAAAGAAGCCCCGGCUAACUACGUGCCAGCCGCCGCAGUAAUAC
rnacentral:rRNA from 1 species